rnacentral:rRNA from 1 species
UACGUAGGGUCCGAGCGUUGUCCGGAAUUACUGGGCGUAAAGAGCUCGUAGGUGGUUUGUCGCGUUGUUCGUGAAAACUCACAGCUUAACUGUGGGCGUGCGGGCGAUACGGGCAGACUUGAGUACUGCAGGGGAGACUGGAAUUCCUGGUGUAGCGGUGGAAUGCGCAGAUAUCAGGAGGAACACCGGUGGCGAAGGCGGGUCUCUGGGCAGUAACUGACGCUGAGGAGCGAAAGCGUGGGGAGCGAACAGGAUUAGAUACCCUAGUAGU